rnacentral:rRNA from 1 species
GACACUGCGAAAAGCCCAGCGGAAGGAUAUGAAGGCUUAAGAAGCCGCAGAGAUUCCUAGGGAUUGGUGAGAAUUUCAAACCAAAAGAGCGUUGGGAUACCGGAAAGGGAAAGCAUGUAGGAAAACAGGAAAGAAAAGUCGCAGGAACGGAAACAUCCAAAGUAGUGCGAGGAAAGAAAUCAACGGAGUGGCCCAGGAAAGUGGAGAACUAAGGGGCAAAAUUUCAGAGAGUACAUUAAAGAGACAGAUGGAAGAGGGCAGCACCAACUGCCAAAGAAAAAAACAGGCAUGACCUUUAGUGAAAAGUACCGUGAGGGAAAAACGAGAAACUGGGCUAUGGAGAAACGGUGAGAGAGCGGCAUUCACAGUAUGAAGUCGAAUGGCAAAGAAGAAUCACGUACUUAUGGUAUAACGGGCCAGCGAGUUUCCGUGGUGGGGGGAAGUUGGAAAGACAAGAGUGAAAGCGAAAAUGGACAGGUGAAGAGCCUGUGUGCGAAACGAAAGAGUGACCCAUACGGAAGACCCGAAACAUUGUGAGCUACCCAUGAGCAGGUGGAAGUACUUUUAACCGAGUAUGGAAGGCCGAACCGGUGAGCGUAGUAAAGCUCUCGGAGGACUUGUGGGUAGGGGUGAAAGGCUAACCAAACAAUGGGAUAGCUGGUUCUCCUCGAAAUCUUUGUACGAAGGGCGAGUGUAGUGGCGGAGGGGUAGAGCUGGGGUUCGGAGAAGGCGGGUGAAAGCGUACGGAUCAGUGCCAAACUGCGAAGAGCUCCGAAAAAACACGCAUUUAGUCACACCCAGGUAGAGAAGUACAUGGGUGAAGAGGGACACAGCCCAGAUGGCACGCAAAGGACUCAAAGAAGGAAAAAGCCACAGUGCCGAAGGGAGAAAGAGGUCGAUGAAGGAGAAGCAGUAGGCCUGGAAGCAGCCAUGCUGGGAAGGAACGCGUAGCAGCGCAAAGUCCGGAGAUCUGAAGACCCAGGAAAGAAGGAGACUGCAGGCGAGAACCGAGGCGGCCAGGGGUACCUGGGGUAAGGCUUUGGGUACUCCGGUAGAGGAGACUUGCGUAAAGAGGAAAUUUUAUCGAGGAGAUAAAAAUGUGUAUCGAUCGCGAGGAGGAUGCUGGCAUGAGUAACGAAAAAAAGGAAAAGACCUUAUGGCCGAAGAACUCAAGGGUUCUAGCGACAGGGAAACCGCGCUAGGUGAGGCGGUCCCUAAUAGCGAGCUGAAAGGCGCGAAAAGAUGGGGGAAGCUCGGAGAAAAAGAUUUUUCGAGUGGCGUGAGGGGACGGAGGGAGCCGCGACGGAGUACAUAUUCGGAGGCAAAAAAAACCAGCCCGGGAAAGAACUGAACGCAAAAAAAACCGUACCGGAAACCAACACAGGUGAGAACGCAUGAGUAUGCGAAGGCGAAGGGAGAACUGCCCCUAAGGAACUCGGCAAAAUGGCCCCGUAACUUCGGGAGAAGGGGAGCUGCACAAUUUUUAUUAUUGUGUCGCCGCAGCGAAAGGAUCGGUGCGACUGUUUAACAACAACACAGCUCCCUGCAAAGCUGUAAGGCGAGGGAAAGGGGGUGAGCACUGCCCAAUGUCUGGGAAUGAAGCUGUACGGUGAACGCUGUGUGGUGAAGACCAGAUCAAUGGCUGCGGUAACUCUGACCGUACAAAGGUAGCGAGAUGCCUUGUCCACUGAUUAUGGUCGUGAAUGAAAGUGUGAACGACACCGGUGCUGUCUCGGGGGCAGGCCCAGUGAAAUUGGAGUGACCGUGAAGAUACGGUCGAGGGUGAGGUAGACGAACAGACCCCGUGCACCUUAACUGCCAGGUGUGUCCGUGAAGAGAAGAAGCCUUGUGUAGGAUAGGUGGGAGUUUUUUUGAUCUGGGUUCGCUGCGCUAAUCGCUAGAGAAGCGUGAAGCUCGAAAAGGAAAACGAAAGGUGAAAGACCACUCGAGGAUCCAGGGACUGACACGAGAUGGAAGAUUUCCAGGAAGAUAUGCUGGGGUAGUUUGGCUGGGGCGGUGGCCUUCUAAAGAGUAACGAGGGCGCGCAAAGGUCGGGGCCAAGGGGGAAUUGCAAGAGGACUCCGCGGGGAGCGUAAGGGUAGAUACCGGCUAGACUGCGAGGCACACAGGCCGAGCAGGGUAGAAAUACGGCCCUAGUGAUCUGGCAGUACCGAAGGAAGGGCUGUCACCUAACGGAUAAAAGGUACGCCGGGGAUAACAGGCUGAUGCCCCUUGAGAGCUCGUAUCGUUGGGGGAGUUUGGCACCUCGAUGUCGAUUCGGCCCAUCCUGGUGGUGAAGUAGCUACCAAGGGUUUGACUGUUCGUCAAGGAAGGGGUCACGUGAAUUGGGUUCAGACCGUCGUGAGACAGGUCGGUUUCUAUCUUCUCACCGAAAACGAAAGAGAUUUUCCUAUGAGGAGGAUUUUUUGGGGUUGUGAGGAAACACUGGGAGUAGUACGCAAGGACCCUCGCAGAGUCACCGCUGGUGAUCCUGCUGUGAUUUGGUGUGAAAAGCAUGCAGGGUAGCUACGUGAUGGAAGGUCAAUUGCUGAAGGCAUCUGAAGCGAGGAGCCUCUUUCCGGGAGGCAACCUAAAUGAAAAGAAUGAGUACUUUUGGGUACAAAUUCUGUAGAAAUACGUUAAAGAUUCUAACGGAAUAG